GACACAAAAGCUUGGGUUCCAGAUCAGGUCCAGAUCAGGUCCAGAUCAGGCAGGAUCACUGUCCAAGAUGGACGACCAAGUCAGAGAAUGAAACCAGGUCCA